AAAAUAAUUUCUAUUUCUUUGCUGCAUUUUUCUAUUUUUUCAGUUUGUUUCAAGAGAAUUUUAACCACAUGUGGAGGCAUUUUUAUGAUGCCUGCUUUAAAGUUCUUUUCAGAACAUUCCAAAAACUGAUAUUGCCUUUUCUCAUUCAAAUUGUGGUCUCCUGGUUCUUGGCUUUUGUGGAGUUUUCAGUUGUAGCCUAGCCUUUUUGGAUAUUAGGCUAUGAGCCUCUACAUCCUAUCCAAUCAUCUUUUUUAGCAAGCAUUGCCCCUGGAGGUAGCACAAGGGCCAGGUGGGUGACUGUGUCCAUCUUCCCACUGAGCCCUGCCAGUACCAGUGUGAACAUUGAGCAAGCCAAAUUCACACCACCUCCUUGGACUGCAGGGGAUAAAGGUUCAGCCUUUCUUCGUUGUUGACCCCUUCUGGGUAGAAGUUGGGCACUAAUUCACACCACCUCAUUGCCUACAAGGUUCAGGAGCUCAGCUCAGCUCUUUGCUAGGCUCUGUUGACCCUGGGGAGUGAGAAGCAGAGGGCUGACUUCCGUCAUGGGAGUAGAGGCUCAACUCACCCUGGACCCCCUGACUCUACCAUGGCAGGGAGACUUGUGUGUCUCACUUGUGUCCCCGGGCAGAGGGUGCACCAUGAGCUCCCUGCUCAACCCCACCACAGCGGGCCACCACCUGCUCUGUGGUAGAGGGGGCAGGUGGAAAAUCAGCACCUGCCAGGCCACCGACACAGGUAGGAGUGGUUUGUUUUUUUUUCUUGAUAUUUGACUGGAGUAGGGGUGGCAUUGCCAAAAGGUUUUCUGUCCUUAGCUCAGCUUUCCUGGCCCGAGGCUUAGCAUGCCAGCCUGCCUGGGGCCUUCUGAGUCUGUGCCUGUGGUGGUCUGGCGGGAGGCUCUGUGGCUGCGCCUGGGAUACUGGGAGGCAACACCACGUGUGGUUUCCCAGGUUCCUAGGCAGCGGCCCCUUGUCAGUCUCCCCAAGUGCAUUUGUUGUGUUGUGUCAGGGCAUUUUUUGUCUUGAGAGGAGGACCUGGAGGAGUGGGACUGCUCCAUCUUGGUGGAGCUACAAGCAAUCAUGCAUUGAUGAUUUUGUAUUAUUUUACUUGGUGAAGAGUUCUCAUAAAAACCUGAAAAUGACUCAAAAAUUCCUUCUGGGGCUGAAAUUCUCAGUCUUUGUCAUUUCAACUAGGUGGGAAACAAAUCCUGUCCCAUUCAUUGCAUUCCUAAGGCUGUUGGUCUUUAUGUUGCUACCCCAGAGAGGCAGGGAUUGCUUUAGAGUUGAAUGUGGACACCCAGCCACCUGGCUUCACCUCCUGGCUCACUUAACAAUUAAACAAUUCUACUUAAACAAUCUACUUGGCCUGUCUUUGCCUCAGUCUGCUUAUCUGUAGAGAGGGGACAGUAACAGUGUUAAAAAGUGCCUGGCAGAGAGUAAAUACUAUACCUUGCUAUUACUAUUAUUCCUUGGCUUUGCAAAUGUUAUACCCAUGAAUUCCCUCCUCCUAUGGAAUUCUCUCUUUUAAUCUCAUGUAUUUUCUCACUCAGACUCAGCUAUCUAAAUUAACGUGAGUUUGGAACUGGGAAGUAUCAGGUACAGAAAAGGCAUGGGAUUAGGGACCUUCAGCUCUGUGAGGGGCGCAGGAGAUCUGAAGAACAGCCUGGAAGAAGGAUGUGGAUGGUAAGUCAUCGCCUUUGUCCACUUGAGUGUUUUUUAGAGAACUCUAACAAGGGAUUGCAUGAAGAAAUUCGAUACAAACAACUAUGUGUCAGUGAGUCUGGGUUCAAAUAAUAAUUUCCCAACAGACCUUCAAAAAUACUGUCCAACUUUCUUGUCCACUCAGCCAAACCCGGUCUUCCGGAAGUGAGCGAGAGUUCAUCCUUUCCCAGCGGGUGCAGGUAGAAGGAACAGUGUUCAGAGGGUCCAGGUAUUCCCUCCAUCUGCUGUGUCAUAAGUGAUCUACAGGGGGCUUUUGGCUCCCUGCAUUUGCUUGGUUCUUUUAAAAGUGUUAAAAAUAAAGCAUUUACAUCAUUCUUUCAUACACUUAUUAUAGUAUUAUUCAUCUUAGACCAAAGUCUCAUUCUAGUAUUUUUGAUUAUAGGCAAGGCAAUGGUCCAGAUACUUUCUAAAGCAAAACUGCUUUCUGUAUAUAUUGAAGAAAACCAAUGGGAAGAAGAUGUCUAAAGCAAGCAUGUGUGAAGGCCUAGGGCUUUUUGUAUCAGUAUAAACAAAAUGCAGCAGGGCAUGUCCAUGAGUUUCUUUUUGCCAUACUGAUGAAAGACUAGAGAUGAAAAAGUUACACUGUUCUUUGUGGGGGGAGGAGUAAGCAUUAGGAUGAAAGUCACUUCCAGAAACCACUAGGUAGGCAUGAGGUUGUAAGGAAGGCUACGCUCCUGGCUUCCUUCCAUAUUCGUGGUUUUAUCCUACUGCCCCUGCCAGACCUCUUAUCAUAGCUAUAAACAUUUCUAUAGCUAUAAGCAUAUUUUCAUUUGCAUGACCUUCACUUAUUUCUGCAAAGUCCAUAGCUAAAAGUCUUGGACACAGCCGUCACGUGCUGCUCCAGCCAACUUCCCAUGAGGUCAGUCCUUAUGCAUCGCCAUCCUGACUGUUGGUGGCCGCAGCGCUCAUCCUCAGCCCCAGGUGUGCAACAAAAAAGGAGCUUCUCCCAACUCCUAAUUGCAUGGAAAGGCUGCAGGUAUUUCCUGGCUUUACUUGCAUAACCUUUAGGUAUGUGUUGUCUGAAACCACGUCUUUCCCAUAUUGAUUUUUCAUGAGGGAGGGACAUAAUUCUGACAGAGAUGUAAAAAGCAACAAAAAUGUUCCUCCUUCACCAACAUAGAGCCUCCUGCUCUAUACCAAACACAGGGAUACAGAGAUGAAUGGCAUGGCCAGGCACGUACAGUGCGAGGGGCUGCAGGCCUGCAUGUGGAAUGUCUCAUCACAGCCUCCAGUUGUCCCAGUAGCAUGCACAGAGGGCACGGGUGAGUCUGGAGGAGCCAUUGAAGACUUCUCUAGGGAGAGACGUUUGUGUGAGAUCACAGACGAUGUGUGGGCAUGUGCCAGGUGGCAAAGAAGAGAAGGCUUGUGAGGAAUGAAACUUGGCAUUCAUAAAACCAGUGUUUUUCUCAAAAGCCAGUGUCUUGCAUUUAAGUGGGAUUAGAAAUAAAUAUUCCCAACACAUGCAGGUGAGGAAGAUCUGUGGCCCAGGGCAGCCCAGGAGAGAGGACCUUUCUCUGCCAGGACAGAUCCCCUUCAGGAGGCCCCUGAUGGAAAGGCAGUGGUGGGCCUGGGGAUUCCAGGAUGUUGGACUCCUGCCCUGGAUGGAGAGGCUCAAUUUAGGUGAGAAAACCAGCGAUGGGCUUUGGGGCUUCCCUCACCUGUAGAUUUCAGAUACAGCAGGUAAGGGACAGAUCUGGAAAACUACAGAAGGAGUGGGGCCUGGGGUUCAAAUGAGGAAGACUCAUGGAAACAGUGGUGAUGAGAGGCCAGUAGACACCAAUGACCUCAGCCUCCAGAGAACCCUACAAACGCUGACCCAAGAUGCGGUCAGAUGCAGCCCUUCCUGGUUGAUUAAUUUUUGGGCUGCCCAAGUGUGGGGGUGCACACACCAGUGCAGCCCAGGAUUUUGUUUUCACAGUGACACCUCUCAUCUUCUCUAGGCUUCUCACCUCUUAGCCUGGGCUGUCAUCCAGGUCUUGGAGAAGUCAAGCAACUUGUCAUGGGCAGGAAAAGACAGCCCAGAACCCAGAACCUGGAAAUACUGAUAUUUGGGGGAGAGGGUCAUGUUUCCCCCAGACAUCUCUGCCCCAGCCCUCAGCUGUUGGGAUGAAGAGGUGCUACCCGAUUACUAAAUGGAUCCCCUUCCACCUGGAAGUGUGCGCCUCCAAAAGCAGUGGCAGGUUCUGCUUCACACCCCAAGAAUGACGCCUGGCAUACACUGAUCCUGCUGCCUUAGGAGGAGAUACUCAAGCGCUGGAAGUCUGCCCUGCCUGCAGAAAAGGCUCCGUUCAGCAGCUGCAUACUGCAUUUUCCAUGUGUAUGUGACUUUAACACAGGGGAGAGAGAGGGCUACUGUCUUGCCACCCAGAUGUGUAUUAUAGAUGUACACGGGACUAGUAUCCAUGUGUACAGCAUCCUGUAUGGUGUGUAUGCAACAUGCAUACCAUAUAUAGGUAAUGUGUUGAGAUCUGGGCAGACUUCCGAUAGCGUUUGCAUGAGUAAGGAAACCUGCCUGUCUCUUGGUCCUUUUAAUGGUGACCUGACCUGAAUAGCUGUUUACAUUUUUUUAUUUAAAAAAAAAUCUCCAAAGCAAUGGUCUCCACGUGCCAGUCCCUGAACAAUGAAGUUUUCAACAGCUUCCAUAAAAACAAAUAAAGCAGGACAAUGUACAGUUAGCCCUCCAUAUCCAUGGGUUCUGCAUUCCUGGAUUCAACUAACUGCAGAGCAAAAAACAAAAAAAUUUUAAUGCAUCUGUACUGAACAAGUGCAGAGGUUUUUGGUUACUAUUCCCUAAACAAAACAGUAUGACAACUAUCAACAUUGCAUUUUCAUUGUAUUUGGUAUUGUAAGUAAUCUAGAAAUGGGAAGAUGUGUGAAGGUUAUCUGCAAAUACAACACCAUUUUAUAUCAGAGACUUUAGCAUCCAUGGAUUCUGGGAUCCAGGGGGGUUCCUGGAACUAGUCUCCCAUGGAUACCAAGGGACGACUGUACUGUUUUCAGAAAAUAAACUAUAAUCAACCUGA